GGGUCAGUAGGUUGGUCGUGCCACCGGUACGUACUGGUCUCACUGAUUCCUCCUUCCUGAAGAACCGUAAUGCCAUUAAUUUGGUGUUGCGGGGAAACAGGACUGUUACUUUGAAAAAAUUAGAGUGUUUAAAGCAAGCUAACGCUUGAAUACAUUAGCAUGGAAUAAUGAAAUAGGACGAUCGAUCAUAUUUUGUUGGUUUCUAGGAUUGACGUA
rnacentral:rRNA from 1 species